rnacentral:rRNA from 1 species
GCCCCGCGGUGCAUUAGCUAGUUGGUAAGGUAAAGGCUUACCAAGGCGAUGAUGCAUAGCCGAGUUGAGAGACUGAUCGGCCACAUUGGGACUGAGACACGGCCCAAACUCCUACGGGAGGCAGCAGUAGGGAAUCUUCCACAAUGGACGCAAGUCUGAUGGAGCAACGCCGCGUGAGUGAAGAAGGUUUUCGGAUCGUAAAGCUCUGUUGUUGGUGAAGAAGGAUAGAGGUAGUAACUGGCCUUUAUUUGACGGUAAUCAACCAGAAAGUCACGGCUAACUACGUGCCAGCAGCCGCGGUAAUACGUAGGUGGCAAGCGUUGUCCGGAUUUAUUGGGCGUAAAGCGAGCGCAGGCGGAAGAAUAAGUCUGAUGUGAAAGCCCUCGGCUUAACCGAGGAACUGCAUCGGAAACUGUUUUUCUUGAGUGCAGAAGAGGAGAGUGGAACUCCAUGUGUAGCGGUGGAAUGCGUAGAUAUAUGGAAGAACACCAGUGGCGAAGGCGGCUCUCUGGUCUGCAACUGACGCUGAGGCUCGAAAGCAUGGGUAGCGAACAGGAUUAGAUACCCUGGUAGUCCAUGCCGUAAACGAUGAGUGCUAAGUGUUGGGAGGUUUCCGCCUCUCAGUGCUGCAGCUAACGCA